UUUUUGUGCAAUGUUUAAUCAUCUUAGAGAGGGCCAGAGACAUGACAUGUGGUUGCCUAUUCAAAACAUAAAAAUUUAAAGAUUGCAUCUUGCAGUUAGAGUUAUUGAGGCUGGUGAAAAGGUAUUUGAACAACCGUGUGAUGGUGAUGCACCAAGUGAAUUCCAGAAAAAAGACAGUUCAUGUAAAUCUCUUGAAAAUUCUAAAGAAAUAAAGCAAAUCAUCUAGAACCGAUUAAUGUCGAACGGCAAAGAGAGACUAGCAUAUGGGUUCACUUCCCGGGUGCUGAUGUAGCACAAGUCUGGUUUGGGAGCCUAGAAAGAGGAAGAACCACGUGGUCUAUAAUGAUAGUGAGUAAGUGAAUGGUAGCAUUCAAUCUGAUCCGUUCCUUUAGUUUAUAUGCAACUUGGUACUAUUUUAUGGAGAUAUUGGGAUUACCCGUUUUGACCCAGGUACACAUCCAUAUCAAAUGAUUCAGAAAGAGUCUAUAAACCUUUUAAAUUAUUCUAUUUAAAACAAUCUUGCAAUUAUAUUUAACACACCAACAAAUUAUAAUAGAUUUUUUAAUCCUGGCCCAAAAGUCUUCGUUGACCCGACCUGUUUUCUACUCAUCAAACUAAAUUGGCAGAGUUUUGACCCGAAAGUAACCACCUCUACUAAUCUUUUUAUCUAUUCAUCACUAAAUUUUUGUUGAAAGUGACCCUUUAAUUGAAAUCUGAAUGCAUAUUAAUGAUUAGUUACAGUUGCUCUUUGUAGAGUAUUUACUAAUGGAUUGAUGUCACUCAUGGAAUUGAUUAAUGGUUGAUAGCUCUUAAAAGGUGCAUAUCUAAAUAUAAAUGACUCGAUAGACAUGCUGGUUGGUGGAUAUAAAGAUUUGGACUCAUCAAAGAGACUCAAUACUCUUAGUUUUCUUGUGAUGAAGUUCUUGGAACUGAGUAAGAUUAUUAUACAUACUUUUAAGAAGUUAAAAUCUUUUAUAUUAAGUUAUUUUUACUUAGUAAUUUAAUACUUGAAAAUUUUAAUAAAAAAAUAAGAAAUUGGAUUGAUGAUCAAAAUACUAAGUUUUUUUGACAAGAGAAAGGAAGCAGAGGAUAAACUUUCUGUUGCAACAGGUAAUGUAUAAACUUUACUUUUGUUUUAUUCAUUUUAUGUGUUGAUGUUAUUAUUAAUUACCUUUUGAAUUUAGGGACAAAAGUUGGAAACAGAAAAGGUGGCAUAAAUUAUAGGUGGAAAAGGAGGGAGGCGACGUUGGUUAAAGACAACAACAAGAGUAUUCCAGGCUCUAAGAAUAGUUGUUAAUGAUGAACUAAAGAUGCUAGAGUCUUCUUUGUAUGAUUGCUACUGAAGUGUUACACCUGGCGAGAGGCUUGCAGUCAUGUCGACUCACAUUCUAGAGGACAAAAUAAAAAAACAAACAUUUCCCAACAUCAUUAACACCAGUUUAGUUUGGUUGACGAAAACAAAAAUGUUAAUUCUGAAAAUGAUGAUGACAAAGAAACAUGUGUCAAACAGGUGAUCCAUGGGGUUGGUGUAGUAAUCCUCACAAAGAGACCCGUUACGCCUUCUAAAGCUGAAGAGAAACUGAAUGUUCGUUGUAGUAGUGCCAAACUCCGGGUAAUACAAAGACACCGAAGUAAAAUCAGAGGGUUAGAUUAGGAAUGGAUUAUAAAUCUUUAUGUCUCUCAUUUGGUAGCUUAGAUGAUGCCAUCAAUUUCAGAUGUCAAUUUACAGUUGGUAACUUGGAUGCUUCUAUCCAAAUGCUUUGGGUGGUCUUGUACUUUCAUAUGCAAUUUCAAUAUCUCUAUAUGCACUAGCAGUUAAUGUAGGCAAAGACUUCUGUAUUUACUUUUUACUUUCUACCUUGAAACAUGAAAGUGUUAACGAUUGUCAA